rnacentral:rRNA from 1 species
AUUGAACGCUGGCGGCAGGCCUAACACAUGCAAGUCGAACGGUAACAGGGAUCAGCUUGCUGAUUCGCUGACGAGUGGCGGACGGGUGAGUAAUGUCUGGGAAACUGCCUGAUGGAGGGGGAUAACUACUGGAAACGGUAGCUAAUACCGCAUAACGUCGCAAGACCAAAGAGGGGGACCUUCUGGCCUCUUGCCAUCGGAUGUGCCCAGAUGGGAUUAGCUAGUAGGUGGGGUAACGGCUCACCUAGGCGACGAGCCCUAGCUGGUCUGAGAGGAUGACCAGCCACACUGGAACUGAGACACGGUCCAGACUCCUACGGGAGGCAGCAGUGGGGAAUAUUGCACAAUGGGCGCAAGCCUGAUGCAGCCAUGCCGCGUGUAUGAAGAAGGCCUUCGGGUUGUAAAGUACUUUCAGCGGGGAGGAAGGGAGUAAAGUUAAUACCUUUGCUCAUUGACGUUACCCGCAGAAGAAGCACCGGCUAACUCCGUG